AUGUGGUGGCCCCAGGCACCCACAUGGUGGGGUUUGUACCGUGGAAAGCCAGGGAUCACAACAGCUGGCUAAGAAUUCCCACUGCAGCAUGUACACAAAGAGCAAGAGGCAACGCCUUGAAAAAUUUACAGUAGGAAAGACAGACCCUAAGGAAUGGGACUUACCAUAUACGAGGUUCAGCAGCCAUGAAACCACCCACUCUGAGAGCACAACCGGUCUCAACUGCCUUGGCGACUUUUAAACUACACUGAACAUUAUAGUCAUUCAGAAACUCUAAAAAACGGAAAGAAAUUUUCAUCUCAGACUUACAAAAACCAUUUCCAGAAGUGCUGAGGACCCAUACAAUUCACUGGGGGGGCACGGCGGGCUCGCUGUCCAGCCCCCGCUGCCCCAGCAAUUUCUGGCCCUGGUUUGCACGUACGCAGAGCCAGGCACAGGCGUUAGGACCUCUCCCAGCUGGAGCACUUCAUGGAUCCUACCAUCGGGAACAGCCGUCCUGGACAAUGAUUAAUCGCAGACAAAGAUCAGAGUCCUGGAAAAAUAUGCAGAGAGAUGCAAGUACAGACAAAGCUGUCUAAGCUCCCACAGUAUUAUGGUCUGGCUGUGUCGCUUCAAAGCCUUGCGUUAGGCAGAGCUGGUUUGCUUCAGGGUUAAACAGACCAAUGUUACUCGUAAAUGCAGGUAUUGCUAACAGCCAAAUAUAUAUUUAAACAUAAAUUUUAAAUCCCAGGAAAGUUAAUAGCCCGAUGCCGUUUAAAACUUGCUUUCUUUUUAAUCGCUUCACGUGCUGACUUAACUCACUACGAUGCAAGCUGCAGAAUCGUUUUCACUACAGUUCAAACCCCCCUGCAAAGCCGAGCCCAGCUCUGCGCCGUACUUUGAUCUACACGUCGCCAGCUUCGGCCAUUUCCAGGAAGCUGAAAUGCUUUUCACCUCUAUUGAGAAAUACCAGAGGAGCAUUUUAAUGGUGUUCUGCUAAGAAUAACGUCACCGUUCCUUCCGAUUUUGCUGGCAGAUGGUCACUGAGAGCCGCUGUGACCCAGGCUCAGCGCUGGCUCCAGCGGCUCGGGCGGCCCCGGCCCGGGAGCCCCCGACGGGGCUCACAGCGCUGAGGCAGCGCUUCAGAGCCAGCGCU